AGCGAGCUCUGGGCAUGAGAGAGAGAGGGAGGCAGAGGGAGAGAGAGAGACUUAAAAGAAAUAGGAGGGGCUUGUGAGAGACUAGAAAUGUCAAUCAGAGCCCAGAGUCCCAAUAAUCUCAGGCAAUCUGUUAGGACCUGACCUGGGUCCACUCAGAUCAAUAGGAAAAGUGAGAGAAGAAAGAAGCGAUCGGAUCGUUUACCGCGGCGGCCGAGGACAGGAGGGAGCCCGCGGCCUCCGCGCACCCCCGGCUCCCCCCCCACCCCCCCCAUGUCCGCCGGAGUUUGCGGGAGGCGCUGAAAGUGCGGGCGGCCGGCGAGGGCGAGCGACCCGGCUCCCUCCUCCGCUCCCGGCCCUGCUACUUUCUCCCCUUUCUCUCCCUUCUUCCUCUCUUCUCCCCCCCCCCUCCUCCUCCUCCUCCCCCCCUCCCCUGCCCCCGCUCCCCCACCAUGUCUUUCCCCCAGCUGGGCUACCAGUACAUCAGGCCGAUUUACCCGGCGGAGCGCCCCGGGAGCGGCGGCUCCCGCGGCGGCGCCGAGCUGGCCCCGUCCGGGACCCUCUCCAACGUGCUCUCCUCCAUGUACGGCGCGCCCUACGCCGCCGCCGCCGCCGCCCAGGGCUACGGAGCCUUCCUGCCCUACGCCGCCGAGCUGCCCAUCUUCCCCCAGCUGGGCGCCCAGUACGAGCUGAAGGAGAGCCCGGGGGUGCAGCAUGCCGCCUUCCCCCACCACCACCCCGCCUUCUACCCCUACGGGCAGUACCAGUUCGGGGACCCGUCGCGGCCCAAGAACGCCACCCGGGAGAGCACCAGCACCCUCAAGGCCUGGCUCAACGAGCACCGGAAAAACCCCUACCCCACCAAGGGCGAGAAGAUCAUGCUGGCCAUCAUCACCAAAAUGACCCUCACCCAGGUCUCCACCUGGUUCGCCAACGCGCGGCGGCGGCUCAAAAAGGAGAAUAAAAUGACCUGGGCCCCCCGCAGCAGGACGGACGAGGAGGGCAACUCCUACGGGAGCGACCACGAGGGGGAAGAGGACAAGAGGGAGGACGAGGAGGAGAUCGACCUGGAGAACAUCGACACCGAGAACAUCGAGAGCAACAAGGACGAGCUGGAGGACGAGCUGCAGGACGCCGACCUCCUGCACUCCGACUCCAAGACGGACUCGGAGGGCUCCGAGGGCUUCGAGGACCUGCCCGGCUCCGAGGAGCGCUACCUCAAGGCCGCCGAGGGGGACCCGCACCACCUCCGCCACCACCACCACCUCCACCAUCACCACCACCACCACCACCACAAGUGCGAGCUCCCCGCCGCCGCCGUCCCCGCCGGCCUGGAGCCCCUCAAGCCGCCCCUCCAGCCGCCUCCGCACCACCUCUCGCCCCCUUCCUCCGCCUCCUCCUCCGCCGCCUCCUCCCCGACGGACGGCGCUUUGGCCGGCACUCUGCCGAAGCCCAAGAUCUGGUCGCUGGCCGAGACAGCCACCAGCCCGGACAACCCCCGCAAGUCUCCCGGCGGCGGCUCCCCGCCGGCGGCCGCCCCCCAGCCGCUGCCGCCCCCGCCGCCCCCGCCGCCCCACAGACUCGUCUCCUCCUGCCCCCUGGGCAAGUUCCCCAACUGGACCAACCGCGCCUUCCCGGCCCACCACCACCACCACCACCCGCCCCCGCACCCGCUGGCCUUACUGAACACUCCCCACCUGCUGGGGCUGGGGGCUGCCCCCGCCGCCGCCCCCCCCGCCGCCGCCGCCGCCGCCUUCCCGCGGCCCGCGGACCAGGCGCAGAGCGCGGAGCCCGCCGGAGCAGGUGACCGCUGAGGGACGCGGCGGGGACGGGCCGGGCCGGCAGGCACCGCGGGGGGCUCGGCGGGGCUGCGCGGUGCUGCGCGGGAGGCCCCGCGGGACCUUGUGCGAGGGGCCGAGGCGGGGGGCGCCGGCCCCGCGGUUUUCUCACGGUGCCCUCGGCGCGGCGCAGCCGUCGGGGCGCAGGUGGCGGCGGGCGGGCGGCCGCGGGGCCCCCGGGGGCGGCGGAGGCGGCGGCGGUGGCAGGGGGGGCCCUCCUCGCCACGUUGGUCUAAAACCCCGAGAAUUACCUUCCUCCGACGGAGAUAAUUUUUGUUGCUGUUGUUGUUGCUGCUCAAAUCGUCUUUGUGAGAAGGACCCGGCCGUAAGGCUUGCUCCGGGGUUGGUUUAUUUUCCUUUUGACGAUCGAUCUAGUGCCUUGGAAGUAGAGAAAAAGUUAAUAAAGACAGCUUUCCAGCCAGUGCAGAGGCGGCCCCAGAACCAACUUGAUGCCGCUAUGGUUCUAUCGGCGUUGUCAUCAUCAUAG